AUGGAGGAUAAAACGUGCUGUUUGUGCUGCUUCUAUUUUAGGUCAAAUGGUCAACCACCCCUCCCCCCUAUCAUCCAUAUAAAAGAAAAAAUGGUGACAAAUGUUUGUGCUGUUGCGUUUGUUGGUACCAACAAAUCAGACUAGCUGAAUUUGUCUUUUGCAGCCUCUUCAACGGGUUAAAAUUUCAUUAUCAACAAAGCUGAAUAUAAUGAAGAAGAAGAUGUUUUAGCUCCUUAUUUUACCCCUCCCUGAGCUGCCACCUUAUCAUGGUGGAGGGGUUUGUGUGUCCUAGUGAUCCUAGGAACUAUGUUGUCUGGGCAUUUAUGCUCCUGGUAGGGUCACCCAUGGCAACAGGUGAGGAACCAGACAAAGUGCAGCUAAAUAAACCCCUAUGAUGCAAAAAGAUGUUGGAUUCUUGCUUCCCUUGCCUGGCCACUGGCCACCAGGGCCCCCCCUCCAGAGCCAGCCGUGAAUAUGGGUCAUGGGGGCGAGCGCUUGGUGGCCAGGCCUGUUCCCAUAGGCCAGACAAACCUGGGGUGACAUAGGCCCCCCUCCCUAUGGACUUACUACCUGUGAGAGAGUCUGUGGGGCUCAGGUGAAGUAGGGCCUUGGCAGUCCGAUCCCUGGCUGCAGAAGCCAGCUCUAUGGACAAGGAACGUCACUUUUCUGGAACCAAACAUUCCCAAGACA